GACGCUCAUUUUUGCCUAAGCCGCCCUUUCGGGUUUUCAACUCAGCGAGCUAUUCUGUUUUUUUCAUUCUUUUUUUUUCAUUUGCAUAUACUUUUUUUUCUUUAGGCAAAGUAUCUCUUAACUGCAUCUGAAUUCACAGGACGAGUGAAAUCCUCCCCAUCCAUUGUUGUAAGCAUCAAAGCUCCGCCUGAAAAGGCUCUC
rnacentral:lncRNA from 1 species